rnacentral:pre_miRNA from 1 species
AGUGGUUCUAAUCAGUUCACAAUGUUCUGAUAUGACGAUGUGAAAUGUUUAGGACCACUAUG